GGUGCCUGUGUGAGUUUGUCCUCCAUCAGAGAUCUUCUGUAAUCCACAAGAUAGGUUCAGAAGCAACUUAAUCCGGUUAUCCUAUCUCUUAAGUAAAGAGAUGGCAACAAAUCGGUUUCAUGACAG